rnacentral:rRNA from 1 species
GAUGAACGCUGGCGGCGUGCUUAACACAUGCAAGUCGAACGAGGUUAAUAGAGCGGAUUAUUUCGGUAUGAAGCACUUUUAACUGAGUGGCGGACGGGUGAGUAACGCGUGGGCAACCUGCCUCAUUCAGGGGGAUACCAGUUGGAAACGACUGUUAAUACCGCAUAAGCGCACGGUUCCGCAUGGAACAGUGUGAAAAGCUCCGGCAGAAUGAGAUGGGCCCGCGUCUGAUUAGCUGGUUGGUGAGGUAACGGCCCACCAAGGCGACGAUCGGUAGCCGACCUGAGAGGGUGAUCGGCCACAUUGGAACUGAGAUACGGUCCAGACUCC